AAAUUGAAGAGUUUGAUCAUGGCUCAGAUUGAACGCUGGCGGCAGGCCUAACACAUGCAAGUCGAACGGUAACAGGAAGCAGCUUGCUGCUUUGCUGACGAGUGGCGGACGGGUGAGUAAUGUCUGGGAAACUGCCUGAUGGAGGGGGAUAACUACUGGAAACGGUGGCUAAUACCGCAUAACGUCGCAAGACCAAAGAGGGGGACCUUCGGGCCUCUUGCCAUCAGAUGUGCCCAGAUGGGAUUAGCUUGUUGGUGAGGUAACGGCUCACCAAGGCGACGAUCCCUAGCUGGUCUGAGAGGAUGACCAGCCACACUGGAACUGAGACACGGUCCAGACUCCUACGGGAGGCAGCAGUGGGGAAUAUUGCACAAUGGGCGCAAGCCUGAUGCAGCCAUGCCGCGUGUAUGAAGAAGGCCUUCGGGUUGUAAAGUACUUUCAGCGGGGAGGAAGGUGUUGUGGUUAAU
rnacentral:rRNA from 1 species